AUGGGGCACUCUGGAGAGCAGCAGGCUGCCAUGAGAGUCCUCUGCUUGCUUCCCUUUAACAUUUGUCAGUACUAAAUGACUCCUACGCCUGCUGCAGGGAAAUGCAUAGGGGAGAGGCCAUUCCUAAGCCAGAUGAGAGAGAAGAUGAGGCAGCAAAGUAGAGGAGCAGCCAUGGUAAAGAAGCAACAGAAGCAGCAUCCUGAGAGCUACAUACUGUAUUCUAGGAGUAGAUUUAAUGUGAGCCUCAUCAGCAGAGGACCUGGAUAAGACACUGGGAUCAGCUGCCUCUUAACUGUGAGCCAGUGUUUCAAGGACAGUGGUGGUAAAGGAGGAUGCCUUGACUACAUGGCAGGUAGCUGUAACCUCGGCCGGAGCAUCCAGGUAGGAUCUCUUAUGUAAAACCCAGCUGAGAGGUGUGAUCUCUCUGUCGUGCACUGAACUGCUCUGCCAGGUGGGUGAUUUUAGCACAGCAAAACCAGAACAGCUCAAUAAAAUGGUUUGGUUGUAGUCAAAAAGUGCAAAAUAAGACCCCUUUGGAAUAGGCAGAUAAUGGACCAGAAAAUGGCCUUAUGUUGCCAGGACUAGAACAUGGCCAGGCACCUGGAAGCAAUCUUUCCCCUAGUCUGGGAGACUGGAGAUGAGAGGAAGCAGGUUCCAAUCUCAGCUCUACCAAAGACUGGGUAUUCUUUUUAAUGUGCUACUGCUACAAAACAGUUCAAUGAGGAAACUCAGCUCUUGUUUCAUUGCCCUAGGGACAGAGGAGUGCUUUGGGGGACUUGUGCACUUGCAUCACUCUACACCUGUGAUGUCCUCAGCAAACCAGUUUGAGUUUGCAAAGCCAAGAGGUUUGAGCCUGCAGUAUCUGUGUUGCUGACAUUUGCACCAGGACUGUAUGGGCAGAAAUUAACCCAGGCCCCAAAAGAGAAGGUGGGGAGAGCCUGCCCAGCACGCAGAUUGCUUGCAGUUCCUUGCAGUGUGGUGGAAUCAACCAACACCCUGGUACAGGGUGUGUGCCUGUGAUGUGGUGGAGGAGCACACGGUCGCUGAUUUUCCACUGCCUACCUCUGUUCUGUGCGUGGCCUUGCGUUAGUUUCAGGCCUAAUAACAUCAUGAUAUCAUAAUGAUAUAUCGCGCUCUGAUGACAACACCGCAUGGAGUAAGCCGCAGCAAUCUGAUCUCAUUCUGCAAACGCAGAGAUGAGUGUUGCUGCUUCACAGGACAAGUGGGUGGCAGGUAGAUGGAGCUGGCACUGCCUAUAUUGGCAGGCCUGGGUGGGAACGUGACCUGCUGGAUUAAAUUAGGUGGCUGGGAGCUUAACGCCUCAGCUCUAAAUCAGCCUCAGCGGUUACGGGUGAGUCACCAGACCUAUCUGCAUUCACUUCUUCCAUCUGUGAAAUGGUGACAAUAAUAUUUCCUCACCUGAUGGGGGAGGGAAGGGAGCGUGUGUACAAGAAUGAAUAAAUGUUUACAAAGCACAUUGUGAGCAGUGCACAGGCUCUGGAUGUGCUUAGAAGGAGCCUGUGUUUUUCCCUCUGCUCUGGGUUGCACCAUACUGUGAGGUAUAAACACUCCCCUCAGAGUCAACACUUUCAAAUGAGAGCAAAUGGGAUAAUUCCUCAGCAGAGAAACAGAGAGUGAGGACUUCACGUGUUACCAGCAAUUUCAAUAAAUUCCAUUCAAGGAAAAGCAAAGUAAC